CGGGACGGGUGAGUAAUGUCUGGGAAACUGCCUGAUGGAGGGGGAUAACUACUGGAAACGGUAGCUAAUACCGCAUAACGUCGCAAGACCAAAGAGGGGGACCUUAGGGCCUCUUGCCAUCGGAUGUGCCCAGAUGGGAUUAGCUAGUAGGUGGGGUAACGGCUCACCUAGGCGACGAUCCCUAGCUGGUCUGAGAGGAUGACCAGCCACACUGGAACUGAGACACGGCCAG
rnacentral:rRNA from 1 species